UUUUUCAAAUUGCUUAGACGCUACCGUAAAGUGAAAAAUAUUUGAGAUUUUUUAUUUCAAUCGAUUUUAAAAUAGCGGCAUGUGUUAAGCACGAUAAUGUUGCGUACAAAGGAGAAGGCGAGACAUUCAUGGUUCAGCAUCCAUUAUUCCAAACACCAAGAGAAUGAAGAAUAAGUUCAAGUUGAAAAUUGUCUCAUCCAAUGUAAAAUGUAUGGUGAUAAAUGUUGACAAAAAAAGAAAUUCAAAAAUUCCCCGUUGACAAUGCACGUCAGAGGACUAAGAAAAAAAAACGCACAAUAUGAGUGAGCGACAAUGUUGCUGCAAGGCGGUAAAAACUCAAAUGCCAAAAACAGAGAACGUAUGGCAAAAACCAAGAAAAAUAAAUAAAUAUGCACUUGUAUCCGGUAAAGACAACGGCUAUGACAUCUAUUCCGCCCGUGGCAACGAAAAAUCCCCAAGCAGACAGAUUUAAUAACGGCAGAGAUUUUUCAUAUUUCUUUUUUUUUUUGUUUUUUUCUUUGGGGAAAUGGUUUUUGUUUCAAGAAAAUACUUUAACAAAGUAGGCGAUAAUGCUGAUUACGGCAAUUUCGAAGGUAUUUCCGAUCUUGGCAGUAUUAGAUUUUUCUUUUUCUUUUUUUUUGUUUUGUUAUAAAUUUAUUUUUGCCAUACUCUUUUAUAACAAUUUAAUUGUAAUAAAUUAUAACUUUAACAAUUUUA